GGCCGCCCGGCCAUCCAAACCAGCGCCCGCGAGAAAGAGACGUGGUUGGGCUGCUGGAAGGCAUGCAGAGUAUUCCUUAUGCUCGUGUAUAUUCAGGAACGCGCAGCUAAAUGAGAUAGACAACUCGCCUGCUGGCGCCCCUUUUAUUCAAGUGCCCUCCUUUUUUCUUCUCUUGAAAAGAGCACAGCGAGCUGGUGGACUCAAGAAGUAGCUACCAACACGUCACAGCCGAGGAGGAAAAAAAAUAUAGCGUCCAGUACUCUUCAUUCACACAAAGAACAAACAACUAUGUCAAAAACUCAGCAACCAACUCAAAGUGUUACAAGAAGAGAUCCUUGCAGAGAUAUUGCCUCAUUAGUAGCUGUAUUAACCAAGAUAAAGUAACAAUAGGCAAUAAAUAUUCCAAUGCCAUCUAAGCAGACACUAUAUAUAUAUGUAUGUGUAAAAGUGCAAAGGACCAUUCAAAGAUCUUUUAUGGGAACGGAUGAAGAUUAGGAAUCAAGCUCAAUAUAAUUAAAUCAGAAAUUGGCAUUAGCUGAAUAUGUUUCCCACAAUAUAACGGGUUGGGCAAUUUCCCUUAUCCCAGCAAGCAGAGUCAAAAUUGUAAUGUGGAUUUUGAAGUCUGAAAAUUUAGGGAACUGAGAUUAAUCCUUUUUCCUAAAAAUGAAUGCAGAAAGUGUAAGAGACUUUUUUUAAAAAAAAAACAACAACCUUGUACUGCUAAGCAAAUUAAAUAUAUAGAUCAUAUAUUAGAUUUAAAUUUUAGAAACAUGCAUCAGCAUUCAUAAACAUGGUUUAUUUUGCCAUGUGCAGAGGAAAUCCAAAACCACAAUUUAAAUUAUUCAUUAAUAGAAAUCAUCCUUUCCCAAUAAUAUAGCUACCAGUUCUUAUGCAUAAUGUUUGAAAAAGGGCAAUCUAAUGUGAGAAAACGUCAUAAGGAGAAGGUGAUCCUCUGAUCCAAUUUACCACUCACAUAUUGCUGAAUUGUAACAAAUAAAGAGAAGUGAGAUGUGAUUAUGUAACUUGGAGUAUGUUAUAAAAGUAGCCUUACAGAGCUGCCUGAGAAAUCUGCUUAUGUUUGGGUAGUAUAAAAACCUGCUGAGUUACAAUUCUGUGCAAGCUUAAUAGGGAUCACGUUGCGCUAAGUAAGUAGAAUUUACUUCCAUAUGAGCAUUCACCAAACUGAGUAGUAAAUAAAAUACAAGCUUUUGUUUAACAGAGCCAAACUGUAGUCGUAAGGAAAGAGUUUGGGUACUGAAGAAAUAUUUUAAAAGGAAGCAAAAGUUUAUAAGCAUAUCUCAUUUUACUUAAAAGAACCCCUGAAAGUGGAAGGAAUUACCUAUAUAUCUAGAUUAAUAAUUGAUUGAAGAUCUGUGCCAGAAAUUUUGUGAUACAGUAUGUAGGAUUUCUUUCUAUUCAUUUGUAUAAUUUGAUGAUGAAGUUUGCUGGCUACAUAAAAUAGCUGCAACUGUAAGACUGGAGUACUCUUUUGUCCAUGCUUGCAACCCACAUGGUAAGAUGAAAAUGUCCAGUGUUGUAUAGUAAAUGGGUGCAGGGCGCAUGGGGCAGAUCCACACCCUCACCUGAUUUUUAAAUAUGUGCCUCACCCCAAAACUAGGGCUUAUUUUUGGGGUAGGGCUUAUAUAUACUUACACACAUACACACACACACAUAUAUAUAAUGUACAGUAUGCAUACACACGCAUAUACAUAUAUAAUAUAUAUAAAACCACUACCGCUUUGAUCAGCAUUUUUAAAAAUAUGUGUACCAAUAUUACCUAAUACUUUCUUCGGUUCCUGUCUUUUGCUGAGAUGGAAAAGUAUCAAUAGUAACAAAAUAAGUAUCAUCCAGAAUAGAACUGUGACUUGCGUAACAGUGAUUGGGACACUUCUACUAGUUUAAUUGUUAUUUACCUGAAUUCCUUCUUAAAGUUGGUUAUGAAAAGAUAAUAGGCAUCCUUGUAAAAUAAAGGCUGUUCUGAAAAGUCAGAAGUAUGAACUAGCAGUAUGAACUAAUAGGAGAACAUUGUAUAAUCAUCACUUUGUGAAAUGUUAUAAGAAUGUUAAAGGCCAACUCUUUUUUGUUAAGUUAAAUUCUAGCCCCUUUGACUUCCCAGGAAGUUAACCUAUUUCAGUGGUGGCGAACCUAUGGUACGGGUGCCAGAGGUGGCAGUCAGAGCCCUCUCUGUGGGCACGUGCGCCGUUG